ensembl:lncRNA
CAUCUUCAGUCUCACUUUCGCCUCUGAGCUCUAAACUGUCCACAGAGGCCAUGAUGGCAGAGAUUGCUCAGCUCAGUCGACAGAAUGAGCUUAUCAAGGCACAGCUGAGUCAGGCCCAGAGUCAUAGAGUGUCUCCCAGCAACAGUUACCUGGAGGAGAGGAGCUUGAGCAGUGGAAGCAAAGGCUCACCUCACAGUGCUGCAGACCGAAGGGGGUUUGGGCCCAGUGUUGCCAGCUCCACACAGCCGACUGAAAGUGAACAACAGGCAGAGACAAGCAUCCUCAAUAUGAGUAGUGUGGAACAGCGCCUCCUGGAGUUGAACAGACAAAGUGCAGCAGCCAGGACUCGAUUACUUGAGAUUAUCGACCAACAAAAACGCAUAACAUCAGCUAAACUGUCUCCUUCUGUUUCCCCCGUCCCACACUCAGAUGUCAGUCCAGUUACAGAUCGUAGAGCAAGUUCAGAAAUCUGUCUGCUGCAGGAGCCCAUGCUGCCAACUAAAGAAGCUGCUUUUAAUGAACCAUCACCUUCUCAAAGUCUCAGAAGCAACAAAGGAACAAAGGAUGAGAAGCAGAAGUCACCAGACGGC